UACGUAGGGUGCAAGCGUUGUCCGGAAUUAUUGGGCGUAAAGAGCUCGUAGGCGGUUUGUCGCGUCUGCUGUGAAAACGCGAGGCUCAACCUCCAGCCUGCAGUGGGUACGGGCAGACUAGAGUGCGGUAGGGGAGAUUGGAAUUCCUGGUGUAGCGGUGGAAUGCGCAGAUAUCAGGAGGAACACCGAUGGCGAAGGCAGAUCUCUGGGCCGUAACUGACGCUGAGGAGCGAAAGCGUGGGGAGCGAACAG
rnacentral:rRNA from 1 species